rnacentral:rRNA from 1 species
UACGUAGGCAGCGAGCGUUGUUCGGAGUUACUGGGCGUAAAGGGUGUGUAGGCGGUCGUUUAAGUUUGGUGUGAAAUCUCCCGGCUCAACCGGGAGGGUGCGCCGAAUACUGAAUGACUUGGAGUGCGGGAGAGGUGAGUGGAAUUCCUGGUGUAGCGGUGAAAUGCGUAGAUAUCAGGAGGAACACCGGUGGUGUAGACGGCUCACUGGACCGUAACUGACGCUGAGGAGCGAAAGCGUGGGGAGCAAACGGG